UAGAAUUCUAAUAUGAAAACCACUGUAUGCUGUAAAGAUACAGUAGAAUUCUAAUAUGAAAACCACUGUAUGCUGUAAAGAUACAGUAGAAUUCUAAUAUGAAAACCACUGUAUGCUGUAAAGAUGCAGUAGAAUUCUAAUAUGAAAUGCUGAGUUCGUAAAUGCCCAAAAUGUUAGUGUAAUUAAUUAUUGAUGUGCAAUAUCACAUUAUGACCAUUUGUACAGUAUUUAAAAAAAAAAAUCUAUAUCAACCAUAUGUACCAUAUAUCUCAUCAAAUGACAUCUCAAUGAAAACCAUACACUGUAUUUCUGAGUUAUUCAAUCCCAUGAUACAGAAAGCAUCCUGCAGCUUAGCUCCCAUAGUUUCUGAGCCGUGUCAUCAUCUGAAGCAGGCCGUGAGCAGGUGGCUGGUGCACAGUCGCUGUGGGCAAACAGAGAAGAUGCUCAUGUCUCUAACACAGUUUACUAUAAAAUACUAUAUACAAUAAUAUUAAACAAGUGAAAAUGUCAUCUUUACUCAUUUAUUAAUGAAGCUGGAAUAAUCUCAUUCGUAGAUGUAUUCUUUCAAAACUAAAUAUAUAUACAUUAUAUACAUAGAGUUGAAGUCAGAAGUUUACAUACACCUGAGCCAAAUACAUUUAAACUCAGUUUUUCACAAUUCCUGACAUUUAAUCCUAGUAAAAAUUCCCUGUCUUAGGUCAGUUAGGAUCACCACUUGAUUUUAUGAAUGUGAAAUGUCAGAAAAAUAUAUUUCUUUCAGCUUUUAUUUCUUUCAUCACAUUCCCAGUGGGUCAGAAGUUUACAUACACUCAAUUAGUAUUUGAUAGCAUUGCCUUUAAAUGGUUUAACUUGGGUCAAACGUUUCGGGUAGCCUUCCACAAGCUUCUCACAAUAAGUUGGGUGAAUUUUGGCCCAUUCCUCCUGACAGAGCUGGUGAAACUGAGUCAGGUUUGUAGGCCUCCUUGCUCACACACACUUUUUCAGUUCUGCCCACACAUUUUCUAUAGGAUUGAGGUCAGGGCUUUGUGACUCCAAUACCUUGACUUGGUUGUCCGUAAGCCAUUUUGCCACAACUUUGUAAGUAUGCUUGGGGUCAUUGUCCAUUUGGAAGACCCAUUUGAGACCAAGCUUUAACUUCCUGACUGAUGUCUUGAGAUGUUGCUUCAAUAUAUCCACAUAAUUUCCCUCCCUCAUGAUGCCAUCUAUUUUGUGUGUGCACCAGUCCCUCCUGCAGCAAAGCACCCCUACAACAUGGUGCUGCCACCCCAGUGCUUCACGGUUCGGAUGGUGUUCUUUGGCUUGCAAUCCUCCCCCUUUUUCGUCCAAACAUAACGAUGGUCAUUAUGGCCAAACAGUUCUAUUUUUUGUUUCAUCGGACCAGAGGACAUUUCUCCAAAAAGUACAAUCUUUGUCCCCAUGUGCAGUUGCAAACCGUAGUCUGGCUUUUUUAUGGCAGUGGCUUCUUCCUUGCUGAGCGGCCUUUCAGGUUAUGUCAAUAUAGGACUCGUUUUACUGUGGAUAUAGACACUUUUGUACCUAUUUCCUCCAGCAUCUUCACAAGGUCCUUUGCUGUUGUUCUGGGAUUGAUUUGUGCUUUUCGCACCAAAGUACAUUAGUUUCUAGGAGACCGAAAGCGUCUCCUUCCUGAGCAGUUUUAAUUUUAAUUUUACCUUUAUUUAACCAGGCAAGUCAGUUAAGAACAAAUUCUUAUUUUCAAUGAUGGCCUAGGAACAGUGGGUUAACUGCCUGUUCAGGGGCAGAACAACAGAUUUGUACCUUGUCAGCUCGGGGGUUUGAACUUGCAACCUUCCGGUUACUAGUCCAACACUCUAACCACUAGGCUACCCUGCCGCCGUAUGACGUCUGCAUGGUCCCAUGGUGUUUAUACUUGCGUACUAUUGUUUGUACAGAUGAACGUGGUACCUUCAGGCGUUUGUAAAUUGCUCCCAAGGAUGAACCAGACUUGUGGAGGUCUACAAUUUUUUUUCUGAGGUCUUCUUUCUUUUGAUUUUCCCAUGAUGUCAAGCAAAGAGGCACUGAGGCACUGAGUUUGAAGGUAGGCCUUGAAAUACAUCUAAGGUACACCUCCAAUUGACUCAAAUGAUGUCAAUUAGCCUAUCAGAAGCGUCUAAGGCCAUGACAUCAUUUUCUGGAAUUUUCCAAGCUGUUUAAAGGCAAAGUCAACUUAGUGUAUGUAGACUUCUGACCCACUGGAAUUGUGAUACAGUGAAUUUUAAGUUAAAUAAUCUGUCUGUAAACAAUUGUUUACAACAAUUGUUGGAAAAAUGACUUGUGUCAUGCACAAAGUAGAUGUCCUAACCGACUUGCCUAUAUAGUUCACAAACUAUAGUUUGUGAACAAGACAUUUGUGGAGUUGUUAUAAAACAAGUUUUUAUGACUCCGACCUAAGUGUAUGUAAACUUCCAACUUCAACUGUGGGCUACUAUGGUGAUCAUAGGUUAUGGCUACUAUGGUGACCAUAGGUUAUGGCUACUAUGGUGACCAUAGGUUUUGGCUACUAUGGUGACCAUAGGUUAUAGCUACUAUGGUGACCAUAGGUUAUGGCUACUAUGGUGACCAUAGGUUAUAGCUACUAUGGUGACCAUAGGUUAUAGCUACUAUGGUGACCAUAGGUUAUAGCUACUAUGGUGACCAUAGGUUAUAGCUACUAUGUCUGUGUAGAUUGCUGAGGGUUUCUUUAUUUUUUAAUCCAUUUUAGAAUACGGCUGUAACAAAAUGUGGGAAAAAGUCAAGGGUCUGAAUUCUUUCCGAAGGCACUGUAUCAUCAAACUUCUCAUCAGGUCUUGCUUGACUAACACCCAGCCUAAUGUUUGUUAUCUUAUCUCUGAAGCAUGCCGCAAACUCAUCACAUUUAUACGUGGAAGGAAGUUCACAUAGGUUUGCUGGGGUAGGAAUAAUCAGGCCAUCAAUGAUCGAGAAGAGCACUCUUCUGAUAAUUCUGAUAAUUAGUGAUCAAAUCAGAGAAAUUUGCCCUUCUGUCAUUUCUAAUUGCCUUAUUCCCGAUGCCAAGUUGAUCUCACAGAAUAUCAUAAUGGACCUGCAACUUUGACUUUCUCCACUUCCUCUCCGCCUGUCUGCAAUUUCUCUUUAAUUUAUUCAUUUUCUCUCUCAUUGUCACGACUUCCGCUGAAGUUGGCUCUCCUGCCUAUUCGGGCGGUGCUCGGCGGUCGUCGUCACCGUCCUACUAGCCACUACCGAUCCCUUUUUCGUUUGUCUGUUGGUUUUGUCUUAUUAGUUUCACCUGUGUGUAUUUUAGUUUAAUUAACGUCCUUAUAUGUAGUAGGUUGUCCCGCUCUUGUUUUGUGCGGGAUUGUUUUUGUAUUCAUGUCAUUUGGUGUAGCACUUGUGUUUUAUUCUCCGGUCUAUUUUGAUCCUGUGUUGGAUUAUUCACCAUGUGUGUUGGGUUAUUCACCCUGUGUGUUGGGUUAUUCACCCUGUGUGUUGGGUUAUUCACCCUGUGUGUUGGGUUAUUCACCCUGUGUGUUGGAUUAUUCACCCUGUGUGUUGGGUUGACUGUGUUUUUGUGUG
ensembl:lncRNA